CCUACGGGAGGCAGCAGUGGGGAAUAUUGCACAAUGGGGGGAACCCUGAUGCAGCAACGCCGCGUGGGUGAAGAAGUACUCCGGUAUGUAAAGCCCUGUCAGCAGGGAAGAAAAUGACGGUACCUGACCUAGAAGCACCGGCUAACUACGUGACAGCAGCGGCGGGAAUACGUAAGGGGCAAGCGUUAUCCGGAUUUACUGGGUGUAAAGGGAGCGUAGACGGCAAGGCAAGUCUGGAGUGAAAGCCCGGGGCCCAACCACGGGACUGCUUUGGAAACUGUGUUGCUGGAGUGCAGGAGGGGUAAGCGGAAUUCCUGGUGUAGCGGUGAAAUGCGUAGAUAUUAGGAGGAACACCGGUGGCGAAGGCGGCUUACUGGACUGUAACUGACGUUGAGGCUCGAAGGCGUGGGGAGCAAACAGGAUUAGAUACCCGUGUAGUC
rnacentral:rRNA from 1 species